CAUGCCCACAGUCGAGUUGCCAAAGCUAUUGCAGUGUGUGGAUAAGCAGACAUGACUUUUGGUUGGUCGUUUGUAUUCUCGUUGGUACGAACUUAAACAUAUUGUAGGCGCCAUUAGGAAUCUAAACGUUAUUUCGCCAAUAUCCAAAAAGCGCGCGGCGCUCCAGACGCUGAUUACUCUGCGCUUUUGCGUCUUUACUCAAAGUUGGCAGAAAACUUUAGCUUUAGUGUUUACACAGCUGUAUAAUGGUUUGCAGUUUUUAGUUAUCGAGAAAGGUAUUAGAUUCAUCAACAAGAUAUGAUGUAAUAGGAGUCAUUGUGUCGAAGAAUGAUGUCAUAAGGUAUUGUUACGUAUCGUCUCGUCGGACCAACGAUCCAACUACUGAUCCCCCUGCAUCCGGUAGGUGUCAGUGCGGAGCAAUUCAAGACAGGACAAGGACAGCUCUGUGACGUCAUAGACACUCCGUUUGGACACAAUGAAGAUCCGCGAUUCGGACAAUGGGUUAUGUUUAACCACACUGAGUCACUAUGACGUAACAAUGAUAAUAAUCUUCUAACAAUGAAACAACAAGAUAUAACACUUACUUUGAACUGCAUUGAUCGAUGGGAUGCAAUAUGACGUCAUAAUCUUGGUACCCUUGGACGAGAAAGCCAUCGAAAGAAAUCCCUUAAAAGUGCGCCACCUUCUGGGUUCGGAACAUCCCAAGUAAAGGUCACCGAAAGGUCGAUGGUUGUAGCGCCACCUCGCGGUUUGAUUGUUGUGUUCAUGAAAUACCGAAGGU